GGGGUUGUCGCUCAGUGGUAGAGCACUCGCUUAGCACGUGCGCGCCCUGGAUUCAAUCCUCAGCACCGCA
rnacentral:tRNA from 1 species